GGGCGCUCCCCUUCUCGGAGGGUAUCCACAGAAACUCUUCUCUGCGGGGGAUUUGUCUCUUCUCUCCCGUUUAUUUAAGAAACGACUUUUUAAAGAGGAUCUUGUAUCUUGGUGCGGGUGUCGGUGCCCACUACGGACAGUGUGGAAUGUCCCUCGUGUCAGGCGCAUGAGGGUGACCCUCCCCCACUGGGUCUCUACGGGCACGAUCAGGAGUCCGAGGUCACCUUGUCAGCAGACCCCUCCCUCCAGGAAGGACAGAGACCAUCUCUGACCAGCACCUGCCCCCGCCCUGCGCCGAGACCGCGGCCACUCACCAGGUCGGCGGACACGGCGGUCGUGAUCAGGGCGUACGGCCCGCUGACCAGGGCCCCGCUGAGCAGCAGCAUGGCUGUGGGAACCAGAAACCAGAAGGAGGGAUUCAGCAGCGGAACGGUGCCCUCUGGGAGAGCCCCCACGGUCUCGGCAGCCCCGGGGUGAGCGCCCUGGUGUCACGCGCGGGUACGUCUGCAAGUCCCAAUCACAGGACCUGCUGCUCCGUUUCCUCGACCCUCAACUGGCGGCGACUGUUGACAGCCUGGAGGGACCAGAAGCCCAGUGUCCCGAGUACGGAUGUGCCAGGGGUGUGCGAAUGCUCCCUGUGGUCAGUGCCGGCUGGCGCUAACCCCAGCCUUGGCCUGCUUUGCAGUGGGAGGGUGUCUGUCUGUCUGUCUCUCUCUGUGCCCGCAGCUGUGGACGGCUGCCCCCGAGGAACACCCGGACACCCAGAGCCACCGAGCUCCCACGGGCAGGGUAACGUGCUUGCUUCUAAAAGGCAUGCUUUCUAAACCGUCCUCCAGGCUCACUUUUCCAAAUUAGCUACUGGUUAACACUCCUCUGUGCAGAAGCUUCUGGACCAGUGGGUCACGGGAAACCCACAGCUCCUCGUGUCAGCAAUCUGACUUCUGGAUGACUUCUAACGGGAUCACACACAGCCUGCCUCCCUCCCGAUCACCACUGCUGGCUGGUUAAAACAGAAAAAAUAUUUACCAGGGCGCCUGGGUGGCUCAGCCGGUUAAGCAUCUGACUCUUGAUUUCGGCUCAGGGCGUGACCUCACGGUUUUCGAGACUGAGCCCUGAGUCAGGCUCUGUGCUGACAGUGCAGAGCCCGCGUGGGAUCCUCUCCCUCUCUCUCUGCCCCUCCCCCGCUUGCGCACACACACGCUCUCUCUCCAAAUAAAUUUAAAAACUUAAAAAAAAAAAAAAAAGAGGGGCACCUGGGUGGCUUAGUUGGUGAAACGCCCGGUUCUGCUCAGGUCAUGAUCUCAUGAGUUCGAGCCCCUCAUCCGGCCCUGUGCUGACAGUGCAGAGCCUGCUUGGGAUUCUCUCCCCCUUCUCUCUCUCCCCCUGCUCUCUCUGUCCCUGCUCUCUCUCUCUC